CAACUGUUAAGUCCCAGCCUGAACCACUGAUUCAGCACCUGGGGAAAGGACCCGGUCAGCCCUGGGAGCACAGGUGAAGGCAAUUCGGCUGUGUGACCAGAAGGGGUGGAGCCUGGCUGCACCUCUCUUAGACCUCAUUUAAGUGCUGACUGCCCCUGGGGAAGGGUCUCUUUCUGGAGAUCCCUCCUUGGUGGAUUUUUCCCCUCUGAACCUGGAAUCUUCUGGUAUGGAAAGAGCUCAGCACAAAUGUGACAGGGGCUUGAAUGUCCCUGAUGCUGUGAUGGGGGGUGGGACCCCAGUCAGCCCUGUCCUGGCAGUGUGACCCCUGGAGGAGGUAGAGAGGUUGUGGUGCAGCAUGGGAGAGCAAUGUGCACCUGCUGGAGGAGGAGAAGAAAAUGGGGAGCCCCAAACUGCUGGAGUGUUAAUGAACUCUGGUGCUUCUGGUGUCUCCUGUGUUUGUUUUUCCUUGCUGAGCCCAACCGUAAAUAUAAAGCAAAUAUAAAUGCUUAUGUACCAGUAAUGUCUUGUUUUCCCUCUCUCUUCCCAAAGUCACCCUGCUGUACUGUGAACCCCCAACAUAUUGUUAAUUAGGAAUGAAUCAGUGUGCCUCUGAUUAAAAUCCUUCCUACUUCAUGGCUUUUAACUAACUACAGUGUCUCUGGGUUUGUGCCAGCUUUGGUUUUAAACCUUUGAAGAAUCUCUAAUCCGCACAGCACAGACCAGCCAAUUAUUUUUUGUUAUAAACAGUAAAUAUCUAUCGAACAUAGAUAUUUUUGUUGCAGAUAAGGAUGCUCCUUGAGGAGCUCAGUAUCCUUCUCCAUAAUUUGCUGGGGUAGAAAAUACCUGAGAUGUACUUUAAUCAACUUUGUACUGUGUGGG
rnacentral:lncRNA from 1 species